AACGCGAAGAACCUUACCUGGACUUGACAUGCUUUUGACCGCUGUAGAAAUACAGUUUUCUCGCAAGAGACAAAAGACACAGGUGCUGCAUGGCUGUCGUCAGCUCGUGCCGUGAGGUGUUGGGUUAAGUCCCGCAACGAGCGCAACCCUUGUCGUUAGUUGCCAACGCGUAAUGGCGGGCACUCUAGCGAGACUGCCUAGGUUAACUAGGAGGAAGGUGAGGAUGACGUCAAGUCCGCAUGGCCUUUAUGUCCAGGGCUACACACGUGCUACAAUGGUCGGUACAAUAGGGAGCGAAGUCGCGAGAUGGAGCAAAUCCUCAAAGCCGGCCUCAGUUCGGAUUGGAGUCUGCAACUCGACUCCAUGAAGAUGGAAUUGCUAGUAAUGGCGGGUCAGCAACACCGCCGUGAAUCCGUUCCCGGGCCUUGUA
rnacentral:rRNA from 1 species